GUGCAAUGAUGUUUUUGUCAACACAUCAUUCUGAAGGAAAAAGUAUGUGAUGACAUCCUAUGACUGAGCACA
rnacentral:snoRNA from 17 species